rnacentral:pre_miRNA from 1 species
ACCGUUGUAGAAUGUUGAGUUUUCUACAUCGGUCACAACUAAAGGACCGAUGUAGAAUGUUCAACAUUCUACAUCGUU